CAGCACAGCUCAGCACAGCACAGCAGCGGAACAGAGAGGUCAAGGAAAGGACACAGGUGACUGAACCUAUGACGGUCUCGGAGUAGUGAUGAUGCAUCAUCGCCGGUCACCGUCGGAUGAUCCGGGCCAGACUUGCCCGAGAAGAGACGUAUUGAUUUCUCAAUGAUUAAUAAGUGGAAAAUAAUUGUGUUUCAUUAA